CGAUGAGCCAAGAUAUGUUUUUUCUGGUAGCUCACUCCUUCUCCUUGGGUUCACUUUUUCUAAUUGAGUUGAUUUACUGAAUAUCUGUGGAUUUUUUAAAUUUUUCAAAUAUCUUUAUUAGUUCCUACUGUUAAAUGAUGUUUCAACUGAAAAAUUAAAAUCUAGUUUGACAAUUGUUUCCCCUUAGCAGUUUGAAGAUUCUACUACCUCUGGAAUUUAUUGUAGAUGAAAAAUAUGUUGUAAGUUUAAUGCUUUUUAUUUUGAGGAUAAUUUGCUUUUUCAUUCCAGUAGAUUUAAAAUUUUGCUCUCUUUAUCCUUGAUAUUCGGAAGUUUCAAUACAAUAUGACUAAUUUGGGACUCAUUUUUAUUCAUUCUGUUUAGAAUUUGCAGUGAUUUUUAUUUAAUUGCUUCCUGAAUAUCUCUAAUUGCCAUAAAUCUGGAAAUUCACUUUUGAACUCAAAUUAGAGGUAUGUUGUAGCCUUCUCUGAGUCUCACCUUAACUAUUUUUUCAUUGCAUAUUUUUAUCUAUUUGUACUGUUUUAUAAGAUCCAACAAACUAUCUUUCAAGUCAUUAAUUUUCUCUUUGACCAAGUUCAACAUAAUACUGACCUUAUUCAUUUGUUUGUUUGUUUUCAAAAUUUUUUAUUUAUAAGAUUGCAAAAUGGUUCUUUUUUUUCAUUUCCACUUGUUUUUAUUUCACCUGACCCACUAAGGCCCCAGGUCAUACAUGGCUUGUUAAAAGUUUCUAUCUAUCUUAUGAUGAUAUUAGGAUGUUACUAACCCAGUCUCAGAGCUAUGAGUAGCUUCAACCAGCUCUCACUUACAGGGGAGUCUUACUCUAAACUGUAAUUGCUGAACCUUGCUCUUUCCCUCAACUUAAACCUGAUUCCUCAUUCUGUUUUUUAGCCAAAGAGUCCCAUAGUGUUUGUAUAAUUAUUGCUUUGAGUUUCUGCUAUAUAUCUGUUCUCUGAGGACAAUUUUAUUUUUUUUCACCUUAGCUGGGUUUUAAAAUUUUAUCUUAAAAUAUUUGACUUAUCCUGAUAAUCUACUGGAAAAUAAAAAGGUAUCAUUUUGAUUUAAUUUAUUUACCUUAAUUUUCCAUUGGCUUGAUUUUCACAUUUAUUUAGAUUAACU
rnacentral:lncRNA from 1 species